UUGAGAAAUACUUAAUUACAUAAAGUCAUGGAAAAGUAAUUAGGGAGUGUAAAUUGGCGUAACAUUCGAACGGGGUACUACAUGAAAUAAAAUGUAGAUAAAAACCUAUCAAAUUUCAAUGACAUUCAGGAUGCUAGCUAGCUGAUUAUGAAAAAGAACGAAAAACUCACAAACAAUAACGAUCAUUUGAUUCGUAAGAUCAUUGUGUUACAUGUAAGUGUCUAAGAUUACUUCAACCAACGCAUUGUACCAGGUAGCUAUGUGGGAGUGUGCACCAUCUGUCUAAACAAUUCAGAUUUUUUCCUUCCCUGCGUUACCAAGUGCUUUCCGGUCGACACAGUUGUGUGCUGAAGGUAGGGCGAAACGAUUGAUCUGUUCAACAAGGCCUCUGAAUACGUGAUGUGUUCCCUGAAUAGCGGGAUUUGUUCCCUAGAAAAUGGGAUGUAUUCCCGGUUUUCCUCAACGCAGAAGGGAUGUGUUCCCCUUAGUAUGUGUAGCGACUCGAACGACGUGAGGAACUCAACCCGGGCAGCCAACGCCUCCAUAAACAUUAUGAAUUAGUGUUCUUGUGUAAACGUGUCAUUUGUUGUCUUAAAAUUUAAUAAAGUCGAUCUAUUUGAAAA